GUCUUUUGUAAGACCCAGAGGGAGGAGAGACAAAGGACGACCUGGUGCUUGUUUUGUUAUUUUUCCAGUGGUAGUCUGGCCACCCACACCAGAGGUGGAUCCAGCAUCCCUCUGGGAUAUUAGACGACACUGGGGGUCUCCGCUCUAGAGAACCACGCGUGUGUGAAGACGGUCCUGUAUUUUUGAAGAUGACAAGGCUGGCUUGGUCAUCUUCUCUUCUGGACUUUUCACACCACCCACAAGCUUUCAAGCAAACCUACAUCACCACGCUCCUCCGUCACAUGCCCUGUGGUCCCAACUAGCUGGGAGCCCAUAAUCCACUGAGGAUCGUCUCCAUCAAGGACGAACAUUUAAGGGGCUCCCGUGAAAGGAUCAUCAUGAACAGAGUGUUGGAGGGCAGAGAGGCUGGGGAAGGAGCGUGGAAGUUGUCAGAAGCAGAAAACCUUACAAGAAAUGCCCGUGAUCCAAAGCUGACAAAGUGUACCCACUCUGAGAAGAGGAUGUCAUGCUUCACCCACACAACCUUCAGUUAAUAACCCCAACAACCCCUGUCCCUCAAGGGUCCCUGAGGGUCCCUGGGCAAAGUCCAAGGGAUCCCCAACCUAAGCCAACACGCUCAUUUGGCAGGUGAGGAAGCUGAAGCCCCGAGACGGGCAGAGAACAGAUCAAAGUCACAGCCAACACCUCGGCAUCCUGAUUCCCAGCUCUGGAGCCCUCCCGUCCUCUCCUUUCUUUCCUUACCACACAGUUUCAAAGUCUUCUGGCCAAGAGGAAUCCCCUUGAAGUCUGGGGGCUAAAAUCAUUCCCAGUGAUUCAAAACUGCCUUCAGUUGCCAAAGCAACAUUUCCAACCCUCGGGACUGGAAACAGUCUGCAGUCACUUGACCGUUCCUCAAGGACAGAGAGAAGAAGAAAAAGACAUGAGACGGGCUUCUGAACUUGGG
rnacentral:lncRNA from 1 species